UACGGGGGGGGCAAGCGUUGUUCGGAAUUACUGGGCGUAAAGGGCUCGUAGGCGGCCAACUAAGUCAGACGUGAAAUCCCUCGGCUUAACCGGGGAACUGCGUCUGAUACUGGAUGGCUUGAAUCCGGGAGAGGGAUGUGGAAUUCCAGGUGUAGCGGUGAAAUGCGUAGAUAUCUGGAGGAACACCGGUGGCGAAGGCGGCAUCCUGGACCGGUAUUGACGCUGAUGCGCGAAAGCCAGGGGAGCAAACGGG
rnacentral:rRNA from 1 species